CAGUAGCCGCGGGAAUACGAAGGGGGCUAGCGUUGUUCGGAUUUACUGGGCGUAAAGCGCACGUAGGCGGAUUCUUAAGUCAGAGGUGAAAUCCCAAGGCUCAACCUUGGAACUGCCUCUGAUACUGGGGAUCUCGAGUCCGGGAGAGGUGAGUGGAACUGCGAGUGUAGAGGUGAAAUUCGUAGAUAUUCGCAAGAACACCAGUGGCGAAGGCGGCUCACUGGCCCGGUACUGACGCUGAGGUGCGAAAGCGUGGGGAGCAAACAGGAUUAGAUACCCGGGUAGUCCCUGUCUCUUAUAC
rnacentral:rRNA from 1 species